UGGGGAAUAUUGGACAAUGGGGGAAACCCUGAUCCAGCAAUGCCGCGUGUGUGAAGAAGGCCUGAGGGUUGUAAAGCACUUUUGUAGAGGAGGAUGGUGAGCUAGGUUAAGAGCUAGGUUCAUUGACGUUACUCUAAGAAUAAGCACCGGCUAACUCC
rnacentral:rRNA from 1 species